rnacentral:rRNA from 1 species
AGCGAACGCUGGCGGCAGGCUUAACACAUGCAAGUCGAGCGGGCAUAGCAAUAUGUCAGCGGCAGACGGGUGAGUAACGCGUGGGAACGUACCUUUUGGUUCGGAACAACACAGGGAAACUUGUGCUAAUACCGGAUAAGCCCUUACGGGGAAAGAUUUAUCGCCGAAAGAUCGGCCCGCGUCUGAUUAGCUAGUUGGUGAGGUAAUGGCUCACCAAGGCGACGAUCAGUAGCUGGUCUGAGAGGAUGAUCAGCCACAUUGGGACUGAGACACGGUCCAAACUCCUACGGGAGGCAGCAGUGGGGAAUAUUGGACAAUGGGCGCAAGCCUGAUCCAGCCAUGCCGCGUGAGUGAUAAAGGCCCUAGGGUUGUAAAGCUCUUUUGUGCGGGAAGAUAAUGACGGUACCGCAAGAAUAAGCCCCGGCUAACUUCGUGCCAGCCGCCGCCGUAA